GACGAAGGGGGCUAGCGUUGUUCGGAAUUACUGGGCGUAAAGCGUGUGUAGGUGGUUGCCAUAGUCAGGUGUGAAAGCCUUGAGCUCAACUCAAGAAAUGCGCUUGAUACUGGGUAGCUAGAGGACCGGAGAGGAUAGUGGAAUUCCCAGUGUAGUGGUGAAAUACGUAGAGAUUGGGAAGAACACCAGCGGCGAAGGCGGCUAUCUGGACGGUUUCUGACACUAAGACACGAAAGCGUGGGGAGCAAACAGG
rnacentral:rRNA from 1 species